rnacentral:rRNA from 1 species
GGUGGCAUGCCUAACACAUGCAAGUCGAACGAACCUUUCGGGGUUAGUGGCGCACGGGUGCGUAACGCGUGGGAAUCUGCCUUUAGGUACGGAAUAACUGGGGGAAACUCUUGCUAAUACCGUAUGAUGUCUUCGGACCAAAGAUUUAUCGCCUAGAGAUGAGCCCGCGUUGGAUUAGCUAGUUGGUGGGGUAAAGGCCUACCAAGGCGACGAUCCAUAGCUGGUCUGAGAGGAUGAUCAACCACACUGGGACUGAGACACGGCCCAGACUCCUACGGGAGGCAGCAGUGGGGAAUAUUGGACAAUGGGCGCAAGCCUGAUCCAGCAAUGCCGCGUGAGUGAUGAAGGCCUUAGGGUUGUAAAGCUCUUUUACCCGGGAAGAUAAUGACUGUACCGGGAGAAUAAGCCCCGGCUAACUCCGUGCCAGCAGCCGCGGUAAUACGGAGGGGGCUAGCGUUGUUCGGAAUUACUGGGCGUAAAGCGUACGUAGGCGGCUUUGUAAGUUAGAGGUGAAAGCCCGGGGCUCAACCCCGGAAUUGCCUUUAAGACUGCAUCGCUUGAACGUC